UACGGGGGGAGCAAGCGUUGUUCGGAUUUACUGGGCGUAAAGGGCGCGUAGGCGGCCCGCUAAGUCGAACGUGAAAUCCCCGAGCUCAACUCGGGAACUGCGUCCGAUACUGGUGGGCUUGAAUCCGGGAGAGGGAUGCGGAAUUCCAGGUGUAGCGGUGAAAUGCGUAGAUAUCUGGAGGAACACCGGUGGCGAAGGCGGCAUCCUGGACCGGCAUUGACGCUGAGGCGCGAAAGCUAGGGGGAGCAAACGGG
rnacentral:rRNA from 1 species